GACGAACGCUGGCGGCAUGCCUAACACAUGCAAGUCGAACGAUGCCUUCGGGCAUAUUGUCGCACGGGUUAGGAACGCGUGGGAACCUGCCCUGUUGGACGAAAUAACUCCAGGAAACUGGAGCUAAUACCGUAUGGGUGCCCUUGGCCAAAAAUUUAUCGCCACGGGUUGGUCCCGCGUAGGAUUAGAUUGUUGUUUGGGUAACGGCCUACCAAGGCUACGAUCCUUAGCUGGUCUUAGAGACUGAUCAGCCACACUGGGACUGAGAAACGGCCCAGACUCCUACGGGAAGCAGGAGUGGGGAAUAUUGGAAAAUGGGCGCAAGGCUGAUCCAGCAAUGCCGCGUGAGUGAUGAAGGCCGUCGGGUUGUAAAGCUCUUUCGCACGCGCCGAUGAUGACGGUAGCGUGAGAAGAAGCCCCGGCUAACUUCGUG
rnacentral:rRNA from 1 species